UUACUGGGCGUAAAGCGCACGCAGGCGGUCUGUNAAGUCNGNAUGUGAAAUCCCCGGGCUCANNNGGGAACUGCAUUNGAAACUGGCAGGCUNGAGUNUUGUAGAGGGGGGUAGAAUUCCAGGUGUAGCGGUGAAAUGCGUAGAGAUCUGGAGGAAUACCGGUGGCGAAGGCGGCCCCCUGGACAAAGACUGACGNUCAGGUGCGAAAGCGUGGGGAGCAAACAGGAUUAGAUACCNUGGUAGUCCACGCCGUAAACGAUGUCGACUUGGAGGUUGUGCCCUUGAGGCGUGGCUUCCGGAGCUAACGCGUUAAGUCGACCGCCUGGGGAGUACGGCCGCAAGGUUAAAACUCAAAUGAAUUGACGGGGGCCCGCACAAGCGGUGGAGCAUGUGGUUUAAUUCGAUGCAACGCGAAGAACCUUACCUACUCUUGACAUCCAGAGAANUUNGCAGAGAUGCUUUGGUGCCUUCGGGAACUNUGAGACAGGUGCUGCAUGGCUGUCGUCAGCUCGUGUUGUGAAAUGUUGGGUUAAGUCCCGCAACGAGCGCAACCCUUAUCCUUUGUUGCCAGCGGUUNGGCCGGGAACUCAAAGGAGACUGCCNGUGAUAAACCGGAGGAAGGUGGGGAUGACGUCAAGUCAUCAUGGCCCUUACGAGUAGGGCUACACACGUGCUACAAUGGCGCAUACAAAGAGAAGCGACCUCGCGAGAGCAAGCGGACCUCAUAAAGUGCGUCGUAGUCCGGAUCGGAGUCUGCAACUCGACUCCAUGAAGUCGGAAUCGCUAGUAAUCGUGGAUCAGAAUGCCACGGUGAAUACGUUCCCGGGCCUUGUACACACCGCCCGUCACACCAUGGGAGUGGGUUGCAAAAGAAGUAGGUAGCUUAAC
rnacentral:rRNA from 1 species